UUCUCAGUAGGAAUUUCUAGGUAACUGCAACGUUGCUUUUCCCGUAUUUCCGCCGACAUUGAACAUAGAAUGUGUGGUAAUAUUUAUAAACAGUUAUGUGCCAGUAUAUUGAUUGCAUUCUUAUCCCUCGGCGUUUACUUGACCAUGAACAUGAUGAAAGAACAAAUCGCUGAGAAAUUCGUCGGAGAAGAUUCCGUUGUAUCUAAGAUAAAGAAUGGUCUCUACGAUGUGAAGGUAAACAAGUUCGCUGCCUCGAAAGUGGAACAAGAACUAGAUAAAUUCACGAAAUGGGAGGAAGCGUCGGAGGUAACUCAUGUAAAAAGAAUUCGGAUUGAAAACUUCUCAGAUUUCCUAGAUCACCUUCUGGAAACUUAUAAGGAAAGUGGCGUCACAGAGGCAGAUAGAAAUAAAUGGAACGGAGUACAUUUUGCAGACGAAUGGACGUCCAAAAUUGUUGAGUGGAAAUUUAAUGCUGACACUGCAGAUUCAACCGGUGUCCAGGGGGCACGAUUUGGGAUCGUGGGAUUCGCGAAAUCGGCAGAUGGAAAAUACGUCGACUGCAUGUUAGCAAUUUACAAACUGGACUUUCGACUGGCGCCAAAUUUAGUAUUGAAAGAAAACUCUAUCCUUUGGGGACUUUACGUUUGGUCGACAGUCGAGAAGGAGGAGAUCGACAGAAGCAUCAGUCGGGAGGAGAUUACUAAAUUCCAGAAUUUUUUCCGAUACAAAGCACUGAAUGAAUUCAAAAAGGAAGGGGUUAUUGAUCGAAUUUCGUACACAGAUCGAUUGGAAUAUAAAUCAAAGAGGUAUUGAAGUAUAUGAGUACAACUUCGGAAAGAGAGACUAUUUAGCUUUAUAGACGUCCGUUUAAUGUAUCAAUUUAUAAACUGAAUUCAUGAUUGUCGCAGAUAUUAGCUAUGGCAGACAAUUCCAUUCUUUGAAUACUUUACUUCUGUUUAAGAUGAGACAAGAAGCAAACUACACUGUAGCAGAAGCAUCAGGGUGGAGGAACUCGCUUAAGACGAUGGUCGAACAAGCGGAGAAAAUUAUUAUGUACCGUUAGGAAGCAUCGAAGAUGUUCUCAUGGAUAGUGUGAAAGAAAUAAGCCUCGAAUGGGUAGGAGGGGGAGACAUUGGAGCUCUGCGUCAACAGGGACUUAACAUUCCUCAUUCAAUACGCCGACCAUGCCAAUUUUUCGUCAGAAGAAACGUACCACUGACUUACAUACACACUCUGUUUGAAUUCUGGGAAAGGGAGAUUAGGUUUUCUGGUAUAACUUUACCCAAGUCAACCCGAUUGAAAUGGAAACAUGUGCUGUAUGCUGAAGGAACUAUACAAACCUCUAAAGGAUUUCAAUUCCUUUACAAUUGGCGUACUUCAAGGGAAAGUGUACAAACGGUGUUCACAAAAACAAUACUAGUAACGAACAGGGAUGGUACCGUCAGUGGAAUUCUCAUCGUCUGUCAGGAGGAGUUUAGCUAUGACCCUCUCAUGGUGACGAUCACAGAGCGUCAUACUGCCUUGUGGGGUCUGUUAAGUUGGGAGGAAAGCAGGAGAGAGCACAUCCCGCGAAAUAUAGAUACGUGGUCCAUAAAAACCCUACAAGAAAUCCUGAGGAAUGACGCAGUUCAUCAUAUUUACCAAAUACACCAAGAGCUGUCCACUGAGCAAAGGAAGCAAAGACUGCUGAUGUAGACUCCGUACACGAUUUUAUAUGUAUAUACAAUUUAAUAAUGUGUAUUGUUAUCAUUAACAAUGCAGUAUACAUCUAGAUGACUAAUUAACAGUUUAUUUUACAAAUAACUAUUGUACAACAUAUCGGUAAUAUUUUAUAAAAAUACGAAGGAUCACUAUUGGUCAUGCAAGGUUUCCUAUUUGAAAAUGAAAUUCGGCUGCUUUUUGAGUUUAUUAAAUUCCUAUGUAGGUGUGUAGUCUAUCCCCAUGUCCUAAAAAUUCACUGAUACAUUCUUUGUUUCCAUGGCAACACCUCAAAGUAGCAGUUAAGGGGGCCGACUAUAGUC